GAGCGGGAAGAGCUCAAAUUUGAAAUCUGGUAGCCUUCGGUUGCCCGAGUUGUAAUCUAGAGAAGUGUUUUCCGUGCCGGCCCAUGUACAAGUCCCUUGGAACAGGGCGUCAUAGAGGGUGAGAAUCCCGUCCUUGACAUGGACCCCCGGUGCUUUGUGAUACACUUUCAACGAGUCGAGUUGUUUGGGAAUGCAGCUCAAAAUGGGUGGUGAAUUCCAUCUAAAGCUAAAUAUUGGCGAGAGACCGAUAGCGAACAAGUACCGUGAGGGAAAGAUGAAAAGCACUUUGGAAAGAGAGUUAAACAGUACGUGAAAUUGUUGAAAGGGAAACGAUUGAAGUCAGUCAUGCUCUUAGGAUUCAGCCGUUCUGCGGUGUAUUUCCUUUGAGUGGGGUCAACAUCAGUUUUGAUCGAUGGAUAAAGGCACGAGGAAGGUAGCACUCUCGGGUGAACUUAUAGCCUCGCGUCAUAUACAUUGAUUGGGACUGAGGAACGCAGCAUGCCUUUAUGGCCGGGAUUCGUCCACGUACAUGCUUAGGAUGUUGACAUAAUGGCUUUAAACGACCCGUCUUGAA
rnacentral:rRNA from 1 species